rnacentral:rRNA from 1 species
UGAGCAAUCUGCCCUUCACAUCGGAAUAACCAUUGGAAACGAUGGCUAAUACCGAAUAUGACUUCGGAUCGCAUGAUCUGAAGUGGAAAGCUCCGGCGGAGAAGGAUGAGCUCGCGGCCUAUCAGCUAGUUGGUGUGGGUAAUGGCCCACCAAGGCGACGACGGGUAGCCGGCCUGAGAGGGUGACCGGCCACACUGGGACUGAGACACGGCCCAGAUCCUACGGGGG